UACGUAGGGACCAAGCGUUGUUCGGAUUUACUGGGCGUAAAGGGCGCGUAGGCGGCGUGUCAAGUCAAUUGUGAAAUCUCCGAGCUUAACUCGGAACGGUCAGUUGAUACUGAUGUGCUAGAGUGCAGAAGGGGCAAUCGGAAUUCUUGGUGUAGCGGUGAAAUGCGUAGAUAUCAAGAGGAACACCUGAGGUGAAGACGGGUUGCUGGGCUGACACUGACGCUGAGGCGCGAAAGCUAGGGUAGCAAACGGG
rnacentral:rRNA from 1 species